UACGUAGGGGGCAAGCGUUGUCCGGAAUCAUUGGGCGUAAAGAGCGUGUAGGCGGCUCGAUAAGUCUGCUGUGAAAGUCCAGGGCUCAACCCUGGAAGGCCGGUGGAAACUGUCGGGCUAGAGUCCGGAAGAGGCGAGUGGAAUUCCCGGUGUAGCGGUGAAAUGCGCAGAUAUCGGGAGGAACACCAAUGGCGAAGGCAGCUCGCUGGGACGGUACUGACGCUGAGACGCGAAAGCGUGGGGAUCAAACAGG
rnacentral:rRNA from 1 species